CCUACGGGAGGCAGCAGUGGGGAAUAUUGCACAAUGGGCGCAAGCCUGAUGCAGCGACGCCGCGUGAGGGAUGGAGGCCUUCGGGUUGUAAACCUCUUUUGUUAGGGAGCAAGGCACUUUGUGUUGAGUGUACCUUUCGAAUAAGCACCGGCUAACUACGUGCCAGCAGCCGCGGUAAUACGUAGGGUGCAAGCGUUAUCCGGAAUUAUUGGGCGUAAAGGGCUCGUAGGCGGUUCGUCGCGUCCGGUGUGAAAGUCCAUCGCUUAACGGUGGAUCCGCGCCGGGUACGGGCGGGCUUGAGUGCGGUAGGGGAGACUGGAAUUCCCGGUGUAACGGUGGAAUGUGUAGAUAUCGGGAAGAACACCAAUGGCGAAGGCAGGUCUCUGGGCCGUUACUGACGCUGAGGAGCGAAAGCGUGGGGAGCGAACAGGAUUAGAUACCCUGGUAGUCCACGCCGUAAACGGUGGAUGCUGGAUGUGGGGCCCGUUCCACGGGUUCCGUGUCGGAGCUAACGCGUUAAGCAUCCCGCCUGGGGAGUACGGCCGCAAGGCUAAAACUCAAAGAAAUUGACGGGGGCCCGCACAAGCGGCGGAGCAUGCGGAUUAAUUCGAUGCAACGCGAAGAACCUUACCUGGGCUUGACAUGUUCCCGACGAUCCCAGAGAUGGGGUUUCCCUUCGGGGCGGGUUCACAGGUGGUGCAUGGUCGUCGUCAGCUCGUGUCGUGAGAUGUUGGGUUAAGUCCCGCAACGAGCGCAACCCUCGCCCCGUGUUGCCAGCGGAUUAUGCCGGGAACUCACGGGGGACCGCCGGGGUUAACUCGGAGGAAGGUGGGGAUGACGUCAGAUCAUCAUGCCCCUUACGUCCAGGGCUUCACGCAUGCUACAAUGGCCGGUACAGCGGGAUGCGACAUGGCGACAUGGAGCGGAUCCCUGAAAACCGGUCUCAGUUCGGAUUGGAGUCUGCAACCCGACUCCAUGAAGGCGGAGUCGCUAGUAAUCGCGGAUCAGCAACGCCGCGGUGAAUGCGUUCCCGGGCCUUGUACACACCGCCCGUCAAGUCAUGAAAGUGGGCAGCACCCGAAGCCGGUGGCCUAACCCCUUGCGGGAGGGAGCCGUCUAAGGUGAGGCUCGUGAUUGGGACUAAGUCGUAACAAGGUAGCCGUACCGGAAGGUGCGGCUG
rnacentral:rRNA from 1 species